rnacentral:lncRNA from 1 species
UCUUGUCACUGCUAACUGGUCCAAGUCAAGUUGCCGAGUAUGGCAUGCACCUUCUUUCACCAAGCGAAGACCCAGACUGUGUGUGCUGCAGUGCCUGGCGAAUGCACAGAGGAGGAAAAGCUAUCACCGUCCUGAGCGUUUUUAUACGCUAGUCCCCAAGCAAUUGUGUGGUAGUGGCAGUGACAGCAGUGGCAACAAGGACUCAUAGAAGCCUAAAACUCUGAGAGAGGGGGAAACCUCCUCUCCUGUCAGAAGAGAUGUGGUCCCAAAGGGGGCUUUGGUUUUACAGGCAUGGAAGUACCAACAAAGAGGUGUUUGUGCAGAAGCUGUAGGAUUUCUUCUUCAAUCACCUUCAUCCAUGAAGAGGCCCAGAUGAUGCCCAAAGCAGGAAGAUGCCAGGCAAAAUGGUCACAUGUUCAGACUCUGGAGAUUUAGACAGUGUCAUUCUAAACAAGAUUCUUCUUAGAGUUUUGUCAGUUUGGGGUCUGAACAAAGAUAUGCUCAGAAUCGAAAGCACAGAUAUUCUUGGGUUUUUACAGUCACAAAUUAUAAUGAUAAUUCAUGUUUCAGGAAGCACCUCAAUUUCUCUCUUAGGUUGUGAAAUCCUUCGGUGCCUUCAGGCAAAAGAGGUCGACAUGAAUUAGUCUUGAUUGGUUUGGGACACUGAAAUGAUUCUGGGACAGCAGAGGAAUGCUUGGCACCAAUGUUUCCCAAAUUGAUGCCACAGAACAAUAAUCCCAAAAGCUAUUGAGAGAGGGGGAGGGAGCGAAAGAGGGAGAGGUAGGGAGAAGAGAAGGAAAUAUAGUCUGGAAAACUGGAAAACGCCACAUGUUCUAUUUUUCUCUUGGAGAUUCCCAAUGCAUAUUAAUAUAUUAAUGCCCUGAGAAAUUUCAC